rnacentral:misc_RNA from 1 species
UCAAAAACAAUUUUAAUACCACCAAACUAAAAAUCACUGGAUGAAAAGACCAACUUUGAAUAUCAUAUUUGAGCAAUUGCAACAUGAAAAUGAACUCCAAGCAAAAGAUGACAAUCAAACCUUAUAACAACUCAACAAUCGUAUUACCUCAAAAAAAAAAAAAAAAAAAUCUUCACAUCAAACUGUUGUAGGUUCUAUUCAAAGUUUGCAGCACAUGAUAACAAGUUCCUAAUAUUAUUCAUCUUAGCAACUUCUAUUCCAAUAUGUACUUUCUUUGAGAGAUGAAAAUCCUUCUGUCUGAUCUAGUGACUUUUAUACCAAGGAAGUACCUUAAUCUACCUAGGUCUUUAAUCUCAAAUUCCAAAGCCAAGUGCUCUUUUAGAUGAGCAAUCUCUUCCUUAUCAUCUUUUGCUAUAACUAUAUCAUCAACAUAGACAAUAAACAGGGUGAUCUUACCUUUCCGGUGUUUCAUGAAUGGGAUAUGAUCAACAUUGCUUUAAUAGAAAACCAAGGAAAUCAUGGUCUUACUAAUACUAAAUUUAUCAAACCAUGCUUUUGGUGAUUGCUUCAAACCAUAUAGUGCUUUCUUCAAUCUACAGAACUUUGGUUUUUUUCAUCCUCAAAUCCUGGAGGGAUUUUCAUGUAUAUCUCUUCUUCUAAAUCUCCAUGCAAUAAAGCAUUCUUCUUAUUAAACUGUUGUAGGUCCUAUUCAAGGUUUGUAGCACAUCAUAGCAAGAUUCUAAUAGUAUUCAUCUUAGCAACAUGUGCAAAAGUCUCCUGAUAAUCCACCUCAAAUGUUUGAGUAAAGUCUUUUGCCACUAGCCUGACCUUAUAUCUUUAAAUGGAAUCAUCUAUUUUAUGCUUUAUGGUAAACACCCAUUUACAUACAACUAGUUUAUUUCCAAAAGAAUAGUAACAAGAUCCCAUGUCUCAUUUUUAGCUAAAGCCUUGAUCUCCUCUUUCAUAUUUGCCUUCAAUUUUGGAUCAAGAUGUGCUUGCUUCCAAUCUUGUGGGAUAGUAAUAGAAGAAACAGUAAGACAAAGACUCUAUAGGAAGAAGACAAGCAGUUAUAGGAAAUAAAAUUAGAAAUGGGAUGCUUAAUACAAGCUCUGACUCCUUUUCUGAGAGUAAUGAAAACAUCAAGAUCAUCAAUAGUAAAAUUUGAAUUAAACUCAAAAACAUAAAACAUAAUUAGGAUCAUUGGGAAUUAAAGAAGACUCACCAUAUUUUUCAGGAACUGAUUCUAGGAAUGCUAGUUAAUCAGGUGUAUCAAGCUCAAUGGUUGUGUUUGUCUUAUUCCGAUGUAUUUAGGUUCUCAAAUCCAAUCUAUUUAAUCUCCCUGAGGUUUGAGAAAGUGGUUGGUCUUGAUUAGAUGGCUCAUUACUAAGGUGUGACCCAAGCCUAAUAGUUUUCCCCUGAGGUGGUUGAUUCUGGUUAGGUGGCUCAGUACCAAGGUAUGACUCAAGUCUGAUAACCUGUUUAGGAAAAAACACCUCUUUCUUUUCCUCUUUAUAUUCUCUCUGAAGGGGUGACUUGACAAGGAAAUAAGGCUCAUAUUUUCUAAAGGUAACAUUCAUACUGAUAAAAUAUUUUCUAGUAGGAGGAUGAUAACAUUUAUAGCCAUUUUGAGUACUAGAAUAAUCUACAAAUACACAUUUAAGAGCUCUAAGUUCUAACUUCUCAAAUUUUGUUUUGCAGACUAAACAGCAUCCAAAAAUCUUUGAAAGGACAGUAUAAGAAUUAUAAUA